rnacentral:rRNA from 1 species
AUGAACGCUGGCGGCGUGCCUAAUACAUGCAAGUCGAGCGAACGGACGAGAAGCUUGCUUUUCUGAUGUUAGCGGCGGACGGGUGAGUAACACGUGGAUAACCUACCUAUAAGACUGGGAUAACUUCGGGAAACCGGAGCUAAUAUCGGAUAAUAUUUUGAACCGCAUGGUUCAAAAGUGAAAGACGGUCUUGCUGUCACUUAUAGCUGGAUCCGCGCUGCAUUAGCUAGUUGGUAAGGUAACGGCUUACCAAGGCAACGAUGCAUAGCCGACCUGAGAGGGUGAUCGGCCACACUGGAACUGAGACACGGUCCAGACUCCUACGGGAGGCAGCAGUAGGGAAUCUUCCGCAAUGGGCGAAAGCCUGACGGAGCAACGCCGCGUGAGUGAUGAAGGUCUUCGGAUCGUAAAACUCUGUUAUUAGGGAAGAACAUAUGUGUAAGUAACUGUGCACAUCUUGACGGUACCUAAUCAGAAAGCCACGGCUAACUACGUG